rnacentral:rRNA from 1 species
GUGCCAGCAGCCGCGGUAAUACGUAGGGGGCGAGCGUUGUCCGGAUUUAUUGGGCGUAAAGAGCUCGUAGGCGGUUCAACAAGUCGGUAGUAAAAGUUCAGGGCUCAACCCUGAAAUGUCUAUUGAUACUGUUGUGACUAGGAUACGGCAGAGGUGAGUGGAAUUCCGAGUGUAGCGGUGAAAUGCGUAGAUAUUCGGAGGAACACCAAUUGCGAAGGCAGCUCACUGGGCCGCUAUCGACGCUGAGGAGCGAAAGCUGGGGGAGCAAACAGGAUUAGAUA